CGAAAGCCUGACGCAGCGACGCCGCGUGAGGGAAGAAGGCCUUCGGGUUGUAAACCUCUUUUAAGAGGGAAGAAGCCACUCGGGUGAAUAGCCCAGAGGGUGACGGUACCUCUAGAAUAAGCCCCGGCUAACUACGUGCCAGCAGCCGCGGUAAUACGUAGGGGGCGAGCGUUGUCCGGAUUUACUGGGCGUAAAGAGCGUGUAGGCGGCCAGACCGGUCCGUUGUGAAAACUGGGGGCUCAACCUUUAGACGUCGACGGAAACCGUUUGGCUAGAGUCCGGAAGAGGAGAGUGGAAUUCCUGGUGUAGCGGUGAAAUGCGCAGAUAUCAGGAAGAACACCGAUGGCGAAGGCAGCUCUCUGGGACGGUACUGACGCUGAGACGCGAAAGCGUGGGGAGCGAACAGGAUUAGAUACCCUGGUAGUCCACGCCGUAAACGAUGGGUGCUAGGUGUGGGAGGUGUCGACUCCUUCCGUGCCGCAGCUAACGCAUUAAGCACCCCGCCUGGGGAGUACGGCCGCAAGGCUA
rnacentral:rRNA from 1 species